rnacentral:tRNA from 1 species
CGGGGCGUAGCUCAGCUUGGUAGAGUCCCUCGUUCGGGACGAGGAUGGCGCAGGUUCAAAUCCUGUCGCCCCGACCA